GAAUUCCAUGAAAUAAAUUUAUGAUCUCAAUUCUUUAUCGAUUGAAAUAGCAGAAAUUUGAGAAGACUUGCGUCAAAGGGCAAUUAAAAAGGCAAAACUAAAAUGCAGAAAUUGGGUAUCGACUUAAAAAUUCGUAUACGAAGACGGCUUAAAAUGCCAGGAGAGUUUACCAGUGUCGUAGGAUUAUCUGUGAAGAUGAAAUCAAUCGCAUCAGGAAAACAGCAUUCGAUAAUUUUACACAAGAAAUCAAAUAAGAUUCACUCACCUAAAUUAUCUUAUUUCAAAAUUUGGAUUUAUAGGAUUAAUAGCAUCACCAGCCACGGUACAAUUCCCCCUGUAGGGGAUACGUUCAAUCAUUGAAAAAAGAAGUAGCAAAGCUCCACGCCAUGAAAUUCCAGCGAGGAAGCGAGAACCGACCAACAUACCAAACGCUUCUCACUCUUAUUUUUGAAGUGCCCCCGUUGCCGGCGUCCUGGCCUAGGGGUACCAUGUCUUCCCCGUGAUCUAGGCGUUCUGGGUUCGAGUCCUGGUUCGGGCAUGGUUGUUCUCUUCCUUGAGUUCUCUCUGUGAGGGCAGUCUCAAGGAACUAUUGUAUCGAGAUAUAGUAACUACACAAACGGACCUAACAGCUCGUCUGCAUGCUGCUUGUACUUUGGAGAACACUGAGCUGCUGCGAUGUGUGCAGGCAUUCAUUCCAUUUCACGCUCAAGUCUGCCUCGAUAUGCAUGACGGAAGCUGUGUGCCAUACAGGUACAGCUAUUUGGGCAUUUUUAUGUACUCCCGACUUAUAAUCUGGAUGUGCAGAGUUUGGUUAGUAUAUAGGGAGUACUCUGUAUAUAAAAUGUGAAACUUUGAGGAGUUAAUUGACAUAUUAUUUUUUCUUUUUUAUGAUUGAUGCAAAAUUGUAUCUUCAUUGUAUCUUUAUUUUCCCAGAUGGGGUUUUGCUCCUUACAUCUCUAUAAUAUAAACUAUUUGUUAUAAGAAAUUUUGUCUGAAGUAGUUCCCGGGUAUCGGAAAUAUCCUAAAUGCUCCCUCACACUUGAGUGGAGCCAAUUUAUUUUUAUGAUUACGGGGAUAUACAGUAACAAGAAAAGAUGACUUCAUUUAAAUAAAAAUAAUUAAUUUUCAACUUUCUGUGCCUUUUGAUAAGGUGCUAAGGGGGAAAAAAAGCCAAAUUUUAUUUUCUACAUUCUUGU